ensembl:lncRNA
CGCCCGCCCGGCGUCUGCCCGCCCGCCCCGUCCGCCCGCCGGCCCGCCCGGCCUGCCCAGCCGCGGGAGCUGCCAGCCAGCUCCUCGCCCUCCCGCUGCCCACAGGCCCUGCCAGGCUGGGCGCAAGAAAGCGUGUUUACUAACACCAUCCGCACGGCUCCCUGGGCACCGCGGCUCUGCCCAGAAGAUGUCAGGCCCCGGGCACCGGGAGGCGGGCCUGGAGCCAGGCUGUCUGCAGCCGGAGGGGCGGGGGGGCGGCCCUGGCCGGCUGCUGCCCUGGGCUCCUGGGCUCCUGGGCUCCUGGGCUCCUGGGCUCCUGCGCUCCUGGGCUCCUGGGCUCCUGGGCUCCCGGCCUCUCGGAGGCCCCAGGGAGGCCCNNNNNNNNNNNNNNNNNNNNNNNNNNNNNNNNNNNNNNNNNNNNNNNNNNNNNNNNNNNNNNNNNNNNNNNNNNNNNNNNNNNNNNNNNNNNNGGGGGGGGGGGGGGGAGACCUCCUGGCGGGGUGGUCGCCUUGUGCAGACCGAGAAGAACACUCUGUAGGUACUAGGAAUCCAGACAUAGGCCAAGGAGGACCCAGGCUUCCCAAGAACACUUUGUCUACACACGGUACAGGUGGCUACCUGGCUGGAUUCUGUUCCAUGCCUGCCCUGAGCGGAGACCUGUCCCUUCAGGCUCUUAAGACACACAUUCCACCGCCCCGCCCCCAAUGAGCCAAAGACCUGGGUUCCAUCCCUGCAUGCAGCUCCCCAUCGCUCCUGGGAUAUCAUCCAAACUUGACAUGGUUGGCAAGGCUGUUCAUAAUCUGCCUCCUGUCUGCCUCUCCCGCCUCAUGCCUCCACCAUGCCAGGCCGCAGCCUGGGCCGCAGCCAAACUGAAUUCCACCUGGUGUCUUUGCUUGGCCUCUAGCUUCAUAUCACCGUUUCCUGUACCUGGAAGCCUCUUUCCCACCCGGGGAAGAGGACUUGGUCCCCCCACCCCCACCCCUCCAGUGCCUUUCACAGAAGGGCAUCAUGGCCUUGUGUUCACAGAGGUGGGGCUUUCCCGGGCUGUGGAGAGGAGAGAGAGUCAGGGAAGUUGUCUUCCAAGAGACAACAACUCCCUGGGUCUUGUUCUGUUUCUUGCUAGAAGAACUGACUGGCUGGCGGAUGGUUGUGGAGGAGACUUCUACGCUGAAAUGCAUGGGAGGCCAGAUCUCCUUCCGGACGGGCUCAGACUACUGCCCCCUUACAAGUGCCCACGACCACUUCUGAGCCCCACAGCUGGACAAACCCAGGGUCAGAACGGGCAGUGUGUCUGGCUCUCGACGCUGGUGACUUUGAUAAAAGACAACUGUGGAUGUUUGGAAACACCAGGAAAUACCAAGACAAUUUGAAAGAGGUCCCAAACAUCGACUUAAGGAGGAACGCUUCGUAACCACUUGGGGCCAAUGGAGCCAGAAGACAAGAGUCAUGGGCAUUUUGUCAUUUUCUGAUUGGAGAUUUGAGAAGGCUUCCACAGGAGAAAUCACACUCCCCGGGGAAGAUAGGAGUCCAAGUCUCCUGGUCUUCGGCGGGGGACCUCAGACAAGCCUUGACCUCUCCGAGUGAGCCUCAGUCUCCUUCUCUGUGUAAAGUCUGCAUAGUCCUUAAAAGCCCUUCCGUGUCUCACAUUGUUAGAACCUCUUUUUUGGAACUCAACAUUCACCCCCAUUGUGGCUGAAACGCCAGAGACAUGACUGUAAGAUUUUCAGUAGAAAAAAGGAUUAAAUUAAAACAAAUAAUUUGCACUUGGAUACACAACCCCAAAUGAUCAACAGGAUCACACAGCUUGACAGCAACCCAUCAUUUUAGACAAAGAUGUGUGAAAUCAAGAGACGUUGAAAAUCAUUUCAAAAUCCUGUAAUUGUUCGGGGUUCAGCUCACCCAAUGCUGUGUGUGUACAUUUUAAAGCACUGUUGUUUUUUUUUCAAAAUAUAUUUUAGUUGUUAUUAUUCAAACCGAGCUGGCAUCAUGUGUAGAAUUGGAAGUUAUUGUAGUCAAUGUAUAAACUGAAAGAAAUCAGCCCAGGGGAUGCCGCUUUCACGCUUAUUUAUGGGAAAAUGCUGUUUAACUAACCUUGAAGUAAAAAAUCUUUUGAAAAAAAAAAUCGGGGAUCCCUGGGUGGCGCAGCGGUUUGGCGCCUGCCUUUGGCCCAGGGCGCGGUCCUGGAGACCCGGGAUCGAGUCCCACGUCGGGCUCCUGGUGCAUGGAGCCUGCUUCUCCCUCCGCCUGUGUCUCUGCCUCUCUCUCUCUCUCUGUGACUAUCAUAAAUUAAAAAAAAUAAAAAAUAAAAAAUAAAAAAAAAAGAAAAAAAA